UGGGGAAUCUUAGACAAUGGGCGCAAGCCUGAUCUAGCCAUGCCGCGUGAGUGAUGAAGGCCUUAGGGCCGUAAAGCUCUUUCGCUGGGGAAGAUAAUGACGGUACCCAGUAAAGAAACCCCGGCUAACUCCGUGCCAGCAGCCGCGGUAAUACGGAGGGGGUUAGCGUUGUUCGGAAUUACUGGGCGUAAAGCGCGCGUAGGCGGAUCAGAAAGUAGGGGGUGAAAUCCCAGGGCUCAACCCUGGAAU
rnacentral:rRNA from 1 species